UAGCAAUAAGGGCGGAAUAGGUAGCCGCCACCACGUUUUUUACGGUAGGAGAUGAAGAUUACCACCUUCUAUUGCUU
rnacentral:tRNA from 12 species